rnacentral:rRNA from 1 species
CCUACGGGGGGCAGCAGUGGGGGAUAUUGCACAAUGGAGGGAACUCUGAUGCAGCGAUGCCGCGUGCGUGAAGACGCGCCUCGGCGCGUAAAGCCCUGUCAGCAGGGAAGAAAACGCCGGUACCUGAAGAAGACGCCCCGGAUAACUACGUGCCAGCAGCCGUGGUACUACGGAGGAGGCCAGCGUUAUCCGGAUUUAUUGGGUGUAAAGGGGGCGCAGGCGGCGAUGCAAGUCAGGAGUGAAAGCCCGAGGUUCAAGCUCGGGACUGCUCUUGGUACUGCGUGGCUAGAGAGUAGGAGGGGCAGGCGGAAUUCCUGGUGUAGCGGUGAAAUGCGUAGAUAUCAGGAGGAACACCGGUGGCGAAGGCGGCCUGCUGGACUGCAACUGACGUUGAGGCCCGAAAGCGUGGGUAGCGAACAGGAUUAGAUACCCGGGUAGUC